GACGAACGCUGGCGGCGUGCCUAAUACAUGCAAGUAGAACGCUGAAGGAGGAGCUUGCUUCUCUGGAUGAGUUGCGAACGGGUGAGUAACGCGUAGGUAACCUGCCUGGUAGCGGGGGAUAACUAUUGGAAACGAUAGCUAAUACCGCAUAAUAGCAGUUGUUGCAUGACAACUGUUUGAAAGGUGCAAAUGCAUCACUACCAGAUGGACCUGCGUUGUAUUAGCUAGUUGGUGGGGUAAAGGCUCACCAAGGCGACGAUACAUAGCCGACCUGAGAGGGGGAUCGGCCACACUGGGACUGAGACACGGCCCAGACUCCUACGGGAGGCAGCAGUAGGGAAUCUUCGGCAAUGGACGGAAGUCUGACCGAGCAACGCCGCGUGAGUGAAGAAGGUUUUCGGAUCGUAAAGCUCUGUUGUAAGAGAAGAACGAGUGUGAGAGUGGAAAGUUCACACUGUGACGGUAUCUUACCAGAAAGGGACGGCUAACUACGUG
rnacentral:rRNA from 1 species